ensembl:lncRNA
UUUUUUUUUCUUUUUUUUUUUUGGAGACAGGGUCUGGCUCUGUCACCCAGGCUCGAGUGCAGUGGUGGACUCUCCGCUCACUGCAACAUCAGCCACCCAGGGGCUCAAGCCAUCCUCCCACCUCAGCCUCCAUGGUAGCUGGGACUUCAGGUGCACGCCACCACACCUGGCUGAUUUUUGUAUUUUUUGUAGAGAUGGGAUUUUGCCAUGUUGCCCAGGCUGGUCUGGAGCACCUGAGCUCAAGUGAUCCACCCACGUCGACUUCCCAGAGUGCUGGGAUUACAGGCGUGAGCCACUGCACCUGCCCCCUUUUUCAGGAUUUUUUUUUUGUCUUUUUUAAUUGAGUUGUUAGAGUUCUUUACACAUUCUAGAUACAAAUCACUUACCAAAUGUAUGAUUUGCAAAAAUUUUCUCUCAUUCUGUGGAUUGUCUUUUCACUUUCUUGAUGGUGUCCUUUAAAGCUUAAAAGUGUUUAACUCCCAUGAUGUUCAGCGUAGCUAUUGAUUUUUGUUUAAUCCUGAUGAUGUUCAGUGUAUCUAUUUAUUUAUUUUUAUUUUUUUGAGAUGGAGUUUCACUCUUGUUGCCCAGGCUGGAAUGUAAUGGCGUGAUCUUGGCUCCCUGCAACAUCCACCUCCUGGGUUCAAGUGAUUCUCCUGCCUCAACCUCCCAAGUAGCUGGGAUUACAGGCAUGUGCCACCAUGCCCAGAUAAUUUUUGUAUUUUUAGUAGAGAUGGAAUCUCACCAUGUUAGUCAGGCUGGUCUGGAACUCCUGACCUCAAGUGAUCCACCUGCCUCAACCUCCCAAAGUGCUGGGAUUGCAGGAGUGAGCCACUGCGCCCAGCCAUCUAUUGAUUUUUGUUGCUUGUGCUUUUGGUGUCAUAGCUAGUAAAGGCUUUGCCCAAUCCAACUCAUGGAGAUUUAUGCUUGCAUUUUCUUCUUCUAAGAGUUCAGUGGUUUUGGCACUUGCAUUUAGGUUUUUUAUCAUCUUUAGUUAGUUUUUGUCAAUGAUGUGAGGUAGGGGGUCCAACUCCCUUCUUUUGCACAUGGAUGUCCCAUUGUCCAUGGGGACAGCCCAACGAUGCAGGCUGUUCCAUGGCAUGCUCCAAGAGCCUUUGCUUGCAUAGACAUGCAACACGGUAUGCCCAAAGUGCAUCCCUGGUCCAGAAGGCAGACCCUGGAAGACCAAUGCCUGGCAAAUAACAGGCCCUCAAAAACUGUUUGUCAAAUGAACGUGGUGUAAGCUGGGGAGCCAGAGCCACCGCAUCCAGGUGCUGGAGUCUCGUUCGUCCUACAGAGGCUCUGAGGGGCUUCAGCUUGGCCACAGUCUGUUGGUGCCCCUGGGGAAAAGGGACAAACCAUCAGUGCUACUACUGCCUGAGCAGGAUCUCCGGAGAAGAAAAGCCCCACAUUUUGUACUGAGGCUGCCUGGGGGAAGGAGAGUCAAGGGAAGAGAAGAGAGGAGAUUGGGGAGCAGCCAGCCUGGGUAUGAACCAGGACAGGGGACCUUGAGUAAUGAAGAGGGAAGCUCCUGUACUCAAGGUCGAUGUUUUCUUGCCUUAAACUUCAAGAGGCAAAGGCAGGGAGAAGCUCUUGGCUGGCAGAUAAAAUGGGAAGAUGAAAGUGCUGGCAGCCACCUCAGACAUCUCUGUACCAGCAAAACCUGCAUCGUAUCCUUUGGGCCAAGUAGAGACGCAGCCUGGGGACAGCCAGGUGAUGGAUGAGCCUGGGGUCUGGGGGAAGGACAAGGCACCCUCGGAGGGGAAACGUGCCGGUCAGCAGGACCUCACCAGACAGCCGCUGGCUUCCCGUUGGCUUCUCCAGGAAGCAGGCGCUGUCUGCCUUUCCCCAGCCCUGACACUGCAGUGGCCUGGUCUGGGGCCAGAAGUUUGGAAGCCUCUGGUGAGGCAGCAGUUCCCAAGUGGCUGCAGGGUCACAGCAGGAGACAACCCUGCAUUGGUCCAGCCCUGGCACCUCUCCGAUGUCCAGUCGUGAACGAGGUAAGGCACCCCUCAUUCAUGCAACCAACAAACAUGCACCAGGCAUGUGCCAGGCUCAGGGGGCACAGCAGCAAACCAGGUCUCUGCUCUCAGGGAGCUCAGAUUCUACUCCAAGUAGGCAGGCAUGGUGGGGGGACAGACAAUAAACAAGUGAGUCAUGACAGAGAGUGGCAGAUGCCACAAAGCACAUAAAACCGAGUGAUGGAAGAAAAUGUCUGACUGGGUCCUUAAGGGUGGCCCCUCCAAAAGGUGACAUUUGAUUGACACUAGAGGGAAAGAGGCCAGUCGUGCAAGAGCUGCAGGAAGAGCAUUCUGGGUGGACAGAACAGCAGGUACAAAGGCCCUGAGGCGGGAAUGGGCUCGGCGUCGCUGAAGAACGGGAAGGAGGCCAGCAGGCGAAGCGCUGAGCU